rnacentral:tRNA from 1 species
GUCCCUGUAGCGCAAUGGGUGGCGCGUUGCAUUUCAAAUCCAAAGGACGUGGUUCGAAUCCUACCUGGGAUA